rnacentral:rRNA from 1 species
GUCGAACGGUAGAGGGGGCAACCCCUUGAGAGUGGCGAACGGGUGAGUAAUGUAUCGGAACGUGCCCAGUCGUGGGGGAUAACGUAGUGAAGAUUACGCUAAUACCGCAUACGAUCUAUGGAUGAAAGCGGGGGAUCGCAAGACCUCGCGCGAUUGGAGCGGCCGAUAUCAGAUUAGGUAGUUGGUAGGGUAAAGGCCUACCAAGCCAACGAUCUGUAGCUGGUCUGAGAGGACGACCAGCCACACUGGAACUGAGACACGGUCCAGACUCCUACGGGAGGCAGCAGUGGGGAAUUUUGGACAAUGGGCGAAAGCCUAAUCCAGCCAUUCCGCGUGCAGGAUGAAGGCCCUCGGGUUGUAAACUGCUUUUGUACAGAACGAAAAGGUUUCUAUUAAUACUAGGAGCUCAUGACGGUACUGUAAGAAUAAGCACCGGCUAACUACGUGCCAGCAGCCGCGGUAAUACGUAGGGUGCAAGCGUUAAUCGGAAUUACUGGGCGUAAAGCGUGCGCAGGCGGUUAUAUAAGUCAGAUGUGAAAUCCCCGGGCUCAACCUGGGAACUGCAUUUGAGACUGUAUAGCUAGAGUACGGUAGAGGGGGAUGGAAUUCCGCGUGUAGCAGUGAAAUGCGUAGAUAUGCGGAGGAACACCGAUGGCGAAGGCAAUCCCCUGGACCUGUACUGACGCUCAUGCACGAAAGCGUGGGGAGCAAACAGGAUUAGAUACCCUGGUAGUCCACGCCCUAAACGAU